CGCACCAGGAGACGCGGCUGAAGGUGUCCUGGUGUGCGUGGGCUCGGAAGGAGGGUGCAGGAGUGCUCGGCUUUCACCGGGGUCUCCGGGAGGGCAGGUGUUUUCUGAGUGGCCGAGGAGGCGCCAAGUGGUUGAGUGACCUGUCCAGGGUGUCACAGAGCGACCCACUCCGGGCCACGGGGUCUGGGGCUCCCGGCUUGCCUGGUGAGGGGCUUCCGUGUAGGCCGAGGGGGUUCUCGCUGGUGCAGAGCAGGAGAUGGGCAGGGGAGACGCGUGGACCCACUCGUGGAACGUCAUGGUUUGCAGGUGGCAAAUGUCCGUCUCCCUGAUGAACGGGCGCUUCUGGACGCGGGGACCUUAUCCACUGUAGGCCCUUGGAGAGGUCGGGCGUCGAGGAGAGGAGCCCCGGGAUCCUUGCCGAGGGUGAGGGCCGGCCGGCCCAGGAAGUGGGGAGGGCCAAGCUGGAGGGUCCCGGGUCGAGGAAGAAGGAGCGGGGAUGGGCUGGGUCACAUGCUGCGGAGUGGACGAAUAAUGGGAGACUGGACCGUACCCUGACCAGAACCCUGUGCGGGAGAGGUGGGGAAGGAGCAAGAAAUGGAGGCUGGGAGGGGCUGUGGGGGCCUGAGCUGGAAAGAGUCAGCCCGACUGGGGGUGUCCUGCGGUACGUGCUGUGGAGAGGGGCUUCGCGGAAUCGGGCCCCUAACGGGUGGGACCCCGAGGCCGCGGGUGGGGGAUGGUGGGGAAGAGGUUUUCCAGGAGAGAGUCCCUGGCUGAGUGAGCACUGUCGAGCACACGCGAGGCCGUGGGUGGGGAGGCAGCAAGGAGGUGAAGGCGGGGGUCCCAGUGGGCGGGAGAGGCUUGCUGUCGGUACUGGGAGGUGGGGUGUUUCCUAGACCCUGCAGGGGCUGAGGCAGGGUUGACAUCGUGAGAAGGAGACAGGAGAGGGUGGAAGGGUGUCCUGUGCCCGCUGUUGCUCACAGGGGAGAGGAGGGGCUGCUGCAGGAGGCCCUCCCCUAGGGUCGGCAGGGGGAUGGAGGAGGAGCUGCCCGGUGGGGACUCAGGAAGCAGCACAGCCCACAGCUAGGGCCAGGGGCUGAGGGGCAGGACUGGACCCUGGGGGCAGGGUGAGGGGUUCUGGGGUCAGCCCAAAAUUGGCCCACAGGCCCAGCCUGUCCGUCACUCCUGAACAAAUCUGCUUCUCUGGAGGAGCAGAAGGAGAGUUGGGUGCGGGAUAGAGGUGAGAAGAGUGCUUGGACACACAGGCUGUGGGGUCCCCAAGAUGGUCUCACGGGUCUCUGGGAUGAGAUGCGGCUACCAAGACCCUACGUGCAGCCAGGAGACUGACCAGGCCGCUUUAAGGCUGGAAGAGACAUGGCCCUGCCAGCAUCCACCUGACAGUCCUGAGGACUGUGUGACUGGGCUCAGUCUUGACCUUCACGGGAGACCACACAGCCUGGUACACAGCAGGGGCUAUGCAGUUCUGGGUCACUUGACAGCCACUCCAGACGAGGCCGCAAGCACUGGACAUGGGGUUUUCCAGCCUUCUGGGGUGGAGCCAUCUUUCUUAGGCCAGGAUUAGUCCCUCCCCACACAGUGCCUCUGCUUGUGCUAGUGGCCUGGUGACCUCCCUUAUGCCAUCCGACGUCACCCCAACCUGCUGUUCAAACUUUAUUGUUAGAAAUUAUUUAUUUCCGGCCGGGUGCGGUGAGCCACCAUGACCCACCUCAUGCACGCUGCUUUUCUAAUUUAGUGUCUUAUAAUUGUGGAGCUAUGUCUUGUGAAAAGGUAUUUCCAACAAGAUUCUCUGAGAUAGUUUUCCCAUGUGCUUUCAGUGCCUCAGGGGUGGGGUAGUCCAUAGGAGCCCCUGUUACCCAUUCAGGAGUGGGUGAGGGGAGACCCCAGGGACCAAUGCCAGCAGGAAGAGGUGGGGUGGUUGGGAGGAUGGAGAUUGCACAUGCUUGGGGACAGCUUGGAGGUGCGUGUUAGAAUUUUUCUGAGAGGGGUUAAGGUGCUGUUUUGUGAAGCACAACGAGUUAGUGAGUGCUAAAUCUCCAUGACCCCUGCCGUCUAUAUGGCUUGGAUACGUCAUGUCAACCUGACAUAAAGCCAUGGGUGAACAUUCUCUGGGACCCCACCUGUGUGUGGGGAAAAGCAAGAGAGAUCAGAUUGUUACUGUGUCUGUAUAGAAAGAAGUAGACAUAGGAGACUCCAUUUUGUUCUGUACUAAGAAAAAUUCUUCUGCCUUGAGAUUCUGUUAAUCUAUGACCUUAUCCCCAACCCCGUGCUCUCUGAAACAUGCGCUGUGUCAACUCAGGGUGAAAUGGAUUAAGGGUUGUGCAGGAUGUGCUUUGUUAAACAAAUGCUUGAAGGCAGCAUGCUCCUUAAGAGUCAUCACCACUCCCUAAUCUCAAGUACCCAGGG
rnacentral:lncRNA from 10 species